AAGGGUUUUAAAUUGUGGUUGCUGUCGUGGGAGCCGUGAAAGAAGGAGGGCGAAGCCGUGCCGCUGUUCUGGCCGCCGGAGCUUCUAUGGCCGUCGGAAGCUAUCGCUGCCCAACCAGCUGCAACGGAGUUGUCUCCUGUCGUGUAUGGCUGCCGAAGAAGCUGUUGUGGCCGCUGGAACCAUCACCGGAACUUCUGUAGUUUGAUUCAGUCUUUAAUCCUUUCUCCCGGGUCAAGCUCCGGUUAUUGCGGGUCACGAUUAAAGCUGCCGCCGAACCGGUUCGGAGACCGCCGCUGUUCGGUUCAUCCGUUCCUUCUUCGUUUCGAGUCGUUGAGAUUGUUGCGAAAAACAAGCGGAGCCGGGAUUUUGGUUAUUGAUUUCGGAUUGAGGCGG